GGGAGUAACUAUGACGUUAUUGUUAAGUUGAUUUAACAUUGUCUCCCCCCACAACCGCGCUUGACUAGCUUGAUGUU
rnacentral:Y_RNA from 1 species